rnacentral:rRNA from 1 species
AUGCUUCACGAAAUUAUUGCUCUGUUUGACUCAUUCCAUGACUUCCUUGCAUUCAUUGGCACCUGCCGCUCUUGGCGCGCUGCAGUCUCUACCUUUCUCUCUGUGCAUACAUUCAGCUUCCCGCCGCUCCACUUCAAACCAGAUGGUCCUUAUGUUCGUCCACAUAGCGGCCCUAUCAAGCCCAUCCUUUUAUCUAAUUGCAAAUGGCAGCUCAGUGAUCCUAGCAAGAAAAACUCAUCCCUUGCGUGUUCAGUGCCUAAAAGUAGUCCAAAUAAAAUGCACUAUUUGGGCUGCUCGCAUGGGUAUCUUAUCUUCUCCUACAAGGUUCACUGCCUCCUUGUCGAUGUGUACACUGGUAGCAAGGUGAUGCCCCCCAAACUCCCACGUAACAAUGAUCUUGGGUACUUUUGUGGCAUAGGCAUCCUUACGGCCCCAUUGAUUUCACCCAACUCUCGCCUCCUCCUUUUCUCUAGAGAUUCAAUGUUUGAGUGGCAGGUUGGAACGAACUCCUGGUCAGAGCACACCCUUACUCUUGAUUAUGAACGCAUCUAUCAGAUUGUGUUCUUCAAAGGUGAUAUCUUUGUCAUAGAUGCUCUCCUUAGGCUCCACACUAUACACUUCACACCUGAGUUCCGCAUGCAAGAAAUAGCAAUUAAAAAGGAGUUUGUGCCUAUGAACUCAUGGUUGGUGGUCUGUGGUGACAUGCUUCUCUUGAUUGACCGAAGGUCCAGCUCUGGCGGAUUGGGUGGCUCAUCUAAUGCAAUCUUUAGGGUCUCUCGCCUCAACUUCUCUGUCGAGCCAGCUAAGUGGGUGAAGUUGGAGAAGUUGGAUAAUUAUGCUCUGUUUGUUAGCCCUGAUAGAAGGAAUCCUACAUUUUGUUGCAUGAGCCCGUAA